rnacentral:rRNA from 1 species
ACAGUCACACAUUAGAUACCCGGGUAGUCCCAGCCGUAAACUAUGCUCGCUAGGUGUCAGGCAUGGCGCGACCGUGUCUGGUGCCGCAGGGAAGCCGUGAAGCGAGCCACCUGGGAAGUACGGCCGCAAGGCUGAAACUUAAAGGAAUUGGCGGGGGAGCACAACAACGGGUGGAGCCUGCGGUUUAAUUGGACUCAACGCCGGACAACUCACCGGGGACGACAGCAAUAUGUAGGCCCGGCUGAAGACCUUGCCUGAAUCGCUG